rnacentral:rRNA from 1 species
GAUGAACGCUGGCGGCGUGCCUAAUACAUGCAAGUCGAGCGAACAGACGAGGAGCUUGCUCCUCUGACGUUAGCGGCGGACGGGUGAGUAACACGUGGAUAACCGACCUAUAAGACUGGGAUAACUUCGGGAAACCGGAGCUAAUACCGGAUAAUAUAUUGAACCGCAUGGUUCAAUAGUGAAAGACGGUUUUGCUGUCACUUAUAGAUGUAUCCGCGCCGCAUUAGCUAGUUGGUAAGGUAACGGCUUACCAAGGCAACGAUGCGUAGCCGACCUGAGAGGGUGAUCGGCCACACUGGAACUGAGACACGGUCCAGACUCCUACGGGAGGCAGCAGUAGGGAAUCUUCCGCAAUGGGCGAAAGCCUGACGGAGCAACGCCGCGUGAGUGAUGAAGGUCUUCGGAUCGUAAAACUCUGUUAUUAGGGAAGAACAAAUGUGUAAGUAACUAUGCACGUCUUGACGGUACCUAAUCAGAAAGCCACGGCUAACUACGUG